rnacentral:rRNA from 1 species
GACGAACGCUGGCGGCGUGCCUAAUACAUGCAAGUGGGACGCAAGGAAACACACUGUGCUUGCACACCGUGUUUUCUUGAGUCGCGAACGGGUGAGUAACGCGUAGGUAACCUGCCUAUUAGCGGGGGAUAACUAUUGGAAACGAUAGCUAAUACCGCAUAAUAUUAAUUAUUGCAUGAUAAUUGAUUGAAAGAUGCAAGCGCAUCACUAGUAGAUGGACCUGCGUUGUAUUAGCUAGUUGGUAAGGUAAGAGCUUACCAAGGCGACGAUACAUAGCCGACCUGAGAGGGUGAUCGGCCACACUGGGACUGAGACACGGCCCAGACUCCUACGGGAGGCAGCAGUAGGGAAUCUUCGGCAAUGGACGAAAGUCUGACCGAGCAACGCCGCGUGAGUGAAGAAGGUUUUCGGAUCGUAAAGCUCUGUUGUAAGUCAAGAACGUGUGUGAGAGUGGAAAGUUCACACAGUGACGGAGCUACCAGAAAGGACG